rnacentral:misc_RNA from 1 species
GUGAAUCAUCAAAUCUUUGAACGCAAAUUGCACUCUCUUCGGAGAGUAUGCCUGUUUGAGGGUCAGCCUAAAAAAAAAAAUCGACAUAGUCGCUUUUUCUCGGUGCCAUUCUUCUUAAAUUUUGUCAUCUUAAAUCUUUUUGUUUUAAGCGGUCUAAAAUUUUCUUUUCGAUUCCCCGAACGUUUC